rnacentral:tRNA from 1 species
GGCUCCUUGGCGGAAUUGGCAUACGCAGCGGACUUAAAAUCCGUGGCUUGAAAAAGCGUGAGGGUUCAAAUCCCUCAGGGGCCA